CCUACGGGGGGCAGCAGUGAGGAAUAUUGGUCAAUGGACGAGAGUCUGAACCAGCCAAGUAGCGUGAAGGAUGACUGCCCUAUGGGUUGUAAACUUCUUUUAUAUGGGAAUAAAAUGUUCCACGUGUGGGAUUUUGUAUGUACCAUAUGAAUAAGGAUCGGCUAACUCCGUGCCAGCAGCCGCGGUAAUACGGAGGAUCCGAGCGUUAUCCGGAUUUAUUGGGUUUAAAGGGAGCGUAGGUGGAUUGUUAAGUUAGUUGUGAAAGUUUGCGGCGCAACCGUAAAAUUGCAGUUGAAACUGGCAGUCUUGAGUACAGUAGAGGUGUGCGGAAUUCGUGGUGUAGCGGUGAAAUGCUUAGAUAUCACGAAGAACUCCGAUUGCGAAGGCAGUUCACUGGACUGCAACUGACACUGAGGCUCGAAAGUGUGGGUAUCAAACAGGAUUAGAUACCCCUGUAGUC
rnacentral:rRNA from 1 species